CGAGCGGUCGAUCGCCUCUCUACGAUUCGAAUAACAAACGAGCCUUUAAAUUACCCGAAAUUCCCCAGCGGGUUCUCCGCCGUCGCCUGACUACUUACCGUUGCUGGCCAUCUCGAGGCAUUUGACGAUCUUCUGUCACGAUCGUAGGACGAGUAGGCCAUGGAUCGGAUCGUCGGCGCGAAGUACAUGCUAGGGCGCAAGAUUGGGAGCGGAUCCUUCGGAGAGAUCUUUCUCGCGACGCACGUUGACACCUUCGAGAUCGUUGCGGUUAAGAUCGAAAACAUCAAGACUAAGCACCCACAGUUGCUUUACGAGGCCAAACUGUAUAAUAUUCUUCAGGGAGGAAGUGGUAUCCCAAACAUAAAAUGGUGUGGUGCUGAUGGGGAGGAAAAUGUUCUUGUUCUCGACUUGCUUGGUCCAAGCCUUGAAGAUUUGUUUGUCUAUUGUGGCCGCAGAUUCUCAUUAAAGACAGUUCUGAUGCUUGCAGAUCAAAUGAUUACGAGAAUAGAGUAUGUGCAUUCAAAAGGUUUUCUGCACAGAGACAUCAAACCUGAUAACUUCCUAAUGGGUCUUGGACGGAAGGCCAAUCAGGUGUAUAUCAUUGACUUUGGGCUUGCAAAACGAUAUAGGGAUUCUAAUACCAAUCGUCAUAUCCCAUACAGAGAAAAUAAAAACUUGACUGGAACUGCUCGUUAUGCUAGUUGCAAUACUCAUCUUGGCAUUGAGCAAAGCUGUCGGGAUGAUUUGGAGUCACUUGGUUAUGUUCUCAUCUAUUUUCUCAGAGGGAGUCUUCCAUGGCAAGGACUAAAAGCUGCCACAAAGAAGAAGAAGUAUGACAAGAUAUGUGAGAAGAAACUUUCAACUCCUAUUGAAGUUUUAUGCAAAUCCCACCCUGUAGAAUUCGCUUCAUACUUCCACUAUUGUCAUUCUUUGACCUUUGAACAACAGCCUGAUUACGGAUUCCUGAAGCGCCUCUUUCGUGACUUGUUCACUCGUGAAGGCUAUGAGUUUGAUUACAUCUUUGAUUGGACAAUUAUGAAAUAUCAGCAAGCCCAAACGACGAGAUCUCAACCUCGAUCCUCUCCGGUCUCUGGUGGAAGGACUAGUCGAGCAAUUCCAAUGGAUGCUGACAAACAAGAAAUGAUAAUUUCAAAUCACAUUCCAGUUGCCAGUUCAAGCAACUUUCCCAGUGUUGAAGAUACAGAGCAUUUGGGACCAAGUAAUUCUGCUCGUCCAGCAGUUCAAAUGCAAUUUAAGCAUUUAGCUGAGAAGAAUAUGAGUUCUGAUGUUGAUCGUCUUGAUAAGUUGAGGGCUGGAAUGAGUUCUGGAAAACAAGUACCUUCCACAUCAUUUGCUUUCCCUGGCCCCUCGAAGAAACAUGUUUUGAAUUCCAUACAAUCAGGGCCAACUGACAUUUCACGUGCUGGGUCCUCCAGUAAUUGGCUUCCAACACUACAGCACAAUGCUUCAGCCAAGUAACUGGUGUACAUUCAAUGCUCCAAUCCAACAUCAAGAUAACAUAUGCUGCUAAAGGUGGCUGCAAUGUUUUGCUCAAUUCACCUUUCUGGAUAUCAGAAUACAUUUUGUAUUCGUGUUAAGGUUUCAUCCCGUCUCUCUUCCUUUGUGCUAGACUGCAAUACAGCUGUAUAUGUGUUGCUACAGAAUGAUGCUGGCAAUAUAGAGUACUUUUGAAGUUUACAAACAUGGAAUCCGAAUCUUACGCUUCCACAAUGAGGAAUGAUGAGCAUGUUUUCUGUUCUCAGAGGUUGGAAAAAAGGUAUUAUCUUGGUGAAAUACAUUCACCGUGCAUUAUAUAUACAUGGUGGCAAAAGGUGAAUACGCUCGCCCCUAGCGUUCCCGUCAAUCCGAAUCUUACUCCUGUUCUCAUGGUGCAUUAUAUAUACAUGUGUAUGUGUGUGCGCGUGUGAGAGAGAUUUUCUGACACCAAUAAUAAUAGCAAAGUUGAAGUUUUUCUUA